UGGGGAAUAUUGCACAAUGGGCGCAAGCCUGAUGCAGCGACGCCGCGUGGGGGAUGACGGCCUUCGGGUUGUAAACCCCUUUCAGCACAGACGAAGCGCAAGUGACGGUAUGUGCAGAAGAAGGACCGGCCAACUACGUGCCAGCAGCCGCGGUAAUACGUAGGGUCCGAGCGUUGUCCGGAAUUACUGGGCGUAAAGAGCUCGUAGGUGGUUUGUCACGUUGUUCGUGAAAACCCACAGCUCAACUGUGGGCGUGCGAGCGAUACGGGCAGACUAGAGUACUGCAGGGGAGACUGGAAUUCCUGGUGUAGCGGUGGAAUGCGCAGAUAUCAGGAGGAACACCGGUGGCGAAGGCGGGUCUCUGGGCAGUAACUGACGCUGAGGAGCGAAAGCGUGGGGAGCGAACA
rnacentral:rRNA from 1 species